UACGGUAGGCAGCGAGCGUUGCUCGGAAUUAUUGGGCGUAAAGAGUGUGUAGGCGGUGCUCCAAGUCUGUUGUGAAAUCUCCCGGCUUAACUGGGAGGGUGCGGCGGAAACUGGAAUGCUAGAGGGUGGGAGAGGUAAGCGGAAUUCCUGGUGUAGCGGUGAAAUGCGUAGAUAUCAGGAGGAACACCUGUGGUGUAGACAGCUUACUGGACCACUUCUGACGCUGAGACACGAAAGCGUGGGUAGCAAACAGG
rnacentral:rRNA from 1 species